rnacentral:rRNA from 1 species
GAUGAAUGCUGGCGGCGUGCCUAAUACAUGCAAGUCGUACGGAAAGGCCCUUCGGGGUACUCGAGUGGCGGACGGCUGAGUAACGCGUGGGAACGUGCCCCAAAGUGAGGGAUAAGCACCGGAAACGGUGUCUAAUACCGCAUAUGGUCUUCGGAUUAAAGCUUCGGCGCUUUGGGAGCGGCCCGCGUACGAUUAGAUAGUUGGUAGGGUAAUGGCCUACCAAGUCGACGAUCGUUAACUGGUCUGAGAGGAUGAUCAGUCAGACUGGAACUGAGACACGGUCCAGACUCCUACGGGAGGCAGCAGUAAGGAAUCUUCCACAAUGGGGGCAACCCUGACGGAGCAACGCCGCGUGCAGGAUGAAGGCCUUCGGGUCGUAAACUGCUUUUAUGAGUGAAGAAUAUGACGGUAACUCAUGAAUAAGCACCGGCUAACUACGUGCCAGCCGCCGCGGUAA